rnacentral:misc_RNA from 1 species
CACCACUCAAGCCUCGCUUGGUAUUGGGCGACGCGGUACGUCCGCGCGCCUCAAAUCUUCCGGCUGGUUCGAAUCGUCCCUCAGCGUUGUGGAAACUAUUCGCUAGAGGUGCGCGUUUCGGUCACGCCGUUAAACAAGCCAAUUUCAUUAAA